rnacentral:rRNA from 1 species
UACGAAGGGGGCUAGCGUUGUUCGGAAUCACUGGGCGUAAAGCGCACGCAGGCGGAUCGAUAAGUCGGGGGUGAAAGCCCGGGGCUCAACCUCGGAACUGCCUUCGAUACUGUCGGUCUCGAGUCCGGGAGAGGUGAGUGGAAUUCCUAGUGUAGAGGUGAAAUUCGUAGAUAUUAGGAAGAACACCAGUGGCGAAGGCGGCUCACUGGCCCGGUACUGACGCUCAGGUGCGAAAGCGUGGGGAGCAAACAGG